CGAAGGAUCCAAGCGUUAUCCGGAUUUAUUGGGUUUAAAGGGUGCGUAGGCGGACUAUUAAGUCAGUGGUGAAAGCCUGCAGCUUAACUGCAGAACUGCCAUUGAUACUGAUGGUCUUGAGUACACUUGAGGUGGGCGGAAUGUGUCAUGUAGCGGUGAAAUGCUUAGAUAUGACACGGAACACCUGCGGCGAAGGCGGGUUGCUGGGCUGACACUGACGCUGAUGCGCGAAAGCUAGGGGAGCGAACGGGAUUAGAUACCCCGGUAGUCCUAGCCUUAAACGAUGAAUGCUUGGUGUCUGGGGUUUUAUAGUCCCCGGGUGCCGUCGCUAACGCUUUAAGCAUUCCGCCUGGGGAGUACGGUCGCAAGACUG
rnacentral:rRNA from 1 species